ACCGGGAGAAGCUAGAGGUACUCCUUGGGUAGAGGUGAAAUUCUGUAAUCCUAGGGGGACCACCAGUGGCGAAGGCGUCUAGCUAGAACGGGUUUGACGGUGAGGAAUGAAGCCCUGGGGCGCAAACCGGAUUAGAUACCCGGGUAGUCCAGGGUGUAAACGCUGCUUGCUUGAUGUUAGUUGGGCUCCGAGCCCAAUUAGUGUCGGAGAGAAGUUGUUAAGCAAGCUGCCUGGGAAGUACGAUCGCAAGAUUGAAACUUAAAGGAAUUGGCGGGGGAGCACAGCAACGGGUGGAGCGUGCGGUUUAAUUGGAUUCAACGCCGGAAAACUCACCGGAGGCGACGGCUACAUGAAGGCCAGGCUGAUGACCUUGCUUGAUUUUCCGAGAGGUGGUGCAUGGCCGCCGUCAGUUCGUACCGUAAGGCGUUCUGUUAAGUCAGAUAACGAACGAGACCCUCAUCUUUAAUUGCAACUAUUAAGUCCGCUUAAUAGGCACAUUAGAGAAACCGCUGGCGAUAAGUCAGAGGAAGGCGAGGGCAACGGUAGGUCAGUAUGCCCUGAAUCCUCCGGGCUACACGCGCGCUACAAAGGCUAGGACAAUGAGCUUCAACACCGAGAGGUGAAGGUAAUCUCGAAACCUAGUCAUAGUUCGGAUUGAGGGUUGAAACUCACCCUCAUGA
rnacentral:rRNA from 1 species